GCUGGGCGUGGUGGCGCACGCCUGUAAUCCCAGCUAUUUGGGAAGCUGAGGCAGGAGAAUCACUUGAACUCAGGAGGCGGAGGUUGCGGUGAGCCGAGAUCGCACCACUGCACUCCAGCCUGGGCAACAGAGGGAGACUCUGUCUCAA
rnacentral:sRNA from 1 species